rnacentral:rRNA from 1 species
UACGGAGGGUGCAAGCGUUAAUCGGAAUUACUGGGCGUAAAGCGCACGCAGGUGGCUGAGUCAGUCGAUUGUGAAAUCCCCAGGCUUAACCUGGGAACUGCAUCCGAUACUGGAUGGCUUGAAUCCGGGAGAGGGAUGCAGAAUUCCAGGUGUAGCGGUGAAAUGCGUAGAUAUCUGGAGGAAUACCGGUGGCGAAGGCGGCAUCCUGGACCGGCAUUGACGCUGAGGAGCGAAAGCUAGGGGAGCAAACGGG